AACGAACGCUGGCGGCAGGCCUAACACAUGCAAGUCGAGCGAGGACUUCGGUUCUAGCGGCGGACGGGUGAGUAACGCGUGGGAAUGUGCCCUUCUCUACGGAAUAGCCCUGGGAAACUGGGAGUAAUACCGUAUACGCCCUAUUGGGGAAAGAUUUAUCGGAGAAGGAUCAGCCCGCGUUGGAUUAGGUAGUUGGUGGGGUAAUGGCCUACCAAGCCGACGAUCCAUAGCUGGUUUGAGAGGAUGAUCAGCCACACUGGGACUGAGACACGGCCCAGACUCCUACGGGAGGCAGCAGUGGGGAAUCUUAGACAAUGGGGGCAACCCUGAUCUAGCCAUGCCGCGCGAGUGAUGAAGGCCUUAGGGUUGUAAAGCUCUUUCAGCUGGGAAGAUAAUGACGGUACCAGCAGAAGAAGCCCCGGCUAACUCCG
rnacentral:rRNA from 1 species